rnacentral:rRNA from 1 species
AGCAGCCGCGGUAAUUCCAGCUCCAAUAGCGUAUAUUAAAGUUGUUGUGGUUAAAAAGCUCGUAGUUGAACCUUGGGCCUGGCUGGCCGGUCCGCCUCACUGCGUGUACUGGUCCGGCCGGGCCUUUCCCUCUGUGGAACCCCAUGCCCUUCACUGGGUGUGGUGGGGAAACAGGACUUUUACUGUGAAAAAAUUAGAGUGCUCCAGGCAGGCCUAUGCUCGAAUACAUUAGCAUGGAAUAAUAGAAUAGGACGUGUGGUUCUAUUUUGUUGGUUUCUAGGACCGCCGUAAUGAUUAAUAGGGACAGUCGGGGGCAUCAGUAUUCAAUUGUCAGAGGUGAAAUUCUUGGAUUUAUUGAAGACUAACUACUGCGAAAGCAUUUGCCAAGGAUGUUUUCAUUAAUCAGGAACGAAAGUUAGGGGAUCGAAGACGAUCAGAUACCGUCGUAGUCUUAACCAUAAACUAUGCCGACUAGGGAUCGGACGGUGUUAUUUUUGAC